UACGUAGGCAGCGAGCGUUGUUCGGAUUUACUGGGCGUAAAGGGCGCGUAGGCGGCGUGACAAGUCACUUGUGAAAUCUCCGGGCUUAACUCGGAACGGUCAAGUGAUACUGUUGUGCUAGAGUACAGAAGGGGCAAUCGGAAUUCUUGGUGUAGCGGUGAAAUGCGUAGAUAUCAAGAGGAACACCGGUGGCGAAGGCGGGUCUCUGGGCCGUAACUGACGCUGAGGAGCGAAAGCGUGGGGAGCAAACAGG
rnacentral:rRNA from 1 species